UACGGAGGGUCCAAGCGUUAUCCGGAAUCAUUGGGUUUAAAGGGUCCGUAGGCGGUUUUGUAAGUCAGUGGUGAAAGCCCAUCGCUCAACGGUGGAACGGCCAUUGAUACUGCAAGACUUGAAUUGUUGGGAAGUAACUAGAAUAUGUAGUGUAGCGGUGAAAUGCUUAGAGAUUACAUGGAAUACCAAUUGCGAAGGCAGGUUACUACCGAUAUAUUGACGCUGAUGGACGAAAGCGUGGGGAGCGAACAGGA
rnacentral:rRNA from 1 species